GCCCCCACAAAUUCAAUUACCAUAAAAUCCUAAAAAGAAUUUUUAAGCAUGACAGUAUUUCACAAAACCUCACAUAAACCAGUUAACAACCGCAAGGAUCACCAAACCUCUCGCUAACCGCAGAAAAGAUAACUUCUUAUCCCUUUUGCAUCAUGGAGGAGCAACAAAACCGUAAAGACUUACCGUUCCCGAACAAUUAUGAGCUACUAAACCCUAAAAUUUAAUGUUUCACAAUUAAUAAACUAGCCUUUAGUAGGAGUAACAAGCCUUCCACAUAAUUCGAUAGCUGGCUUUUCGCAAAAAGUAUCAAAGUACUGCCCUAUAUAAACCCACACUCACCAACUAACUUAAUAUAGGAGUCAUUCUUUUAAGGACUAGCUCAAAAGAAAAACUAAAAUAAUCUAAACACCGAAUUUCUAAAGUAGGCUUAAAAGCAGCCAUCGAACAGCGUUCCAGCUAAUCAACCCACCCCCUAUACUAUUAAAAACAAAAUUUUAAUAUAAGCGAAAUCUAGUGUCAAACAUUAUUCUCUAACAAACAGGCAUCCUAUUAGUAUUCACACUAUUAAUAAUUAAUAACCCUCAACAAAACUAAAACAUAACCACAACCAAUUUUUAACCCAUACAGAGCGAACUCGGCAAUAGAACCCCCUGCCUGUUUACCAAAAACAUCGUCUUUUGGCCUACUAGCAUAAAAGAUAAUGCCUGCCCAGUGAAAACUUUAAACGGCCGCGUUAGCGUGAGCGUGCUAAGGUAGCGUAAUAAAUAGCCUUUUAAUUGGAGGCCAGUGAAUGGCAAGACUAGGGAUACCUGUACCCUGUAUGUUAAAAAAACUUUUCAUCUGAGUGAAAAGACUCAGAUAGUAAAGGAAGACGAAAAGACCCCGCGGAACUUUACCUUUUCAGUCUCCACAUGCUCAGAAACACUAAAAACAAAAGGUUUGAUUGGGGCAAUCUCGGAACCAACCAAACUUCCGAUCUAUUCCACAAAAUAUACAAAACUAUCUAAGGACCAAAUAGAAGUUACCCCGGGGAUAACAGCGUAAUCUAAUUUGAGAGUACACAUCGAAAAUUAGGUUUGCGACCUCGAUGUUGGCUUAAGGACAUCCACAUUAGUGCAACCGCUAUGACAGGACAGUCUGUUCGACUAUUAUACCCUUACACGAGCUGAGUUAAGACCGGCGCAAGCUAGGUUGGUUUCUAUCUCCUUGACAACAACUUUCUUGAUUGUACGAAAGGACCCCAGGAAAUGCACUACACGCGUUUUUAUUAUAAAAAUUAAACCACGAAUAAUACCAAAUCUCCUAACACC
rnacentral:rRNA from 1 species